rnacentral:rRNA from 1 species
UGCCAGCAGCCGCGGUAAUACGUAGGGGGCAAGCGUUGUCCGGAUUUACUGGGUGUAGAGGGCGCGCAGGCGGAUUUGUCAGUCAGGGGUGAAAUCCCACAGCUCAACUGUGGAACUGCGCUUCAAACCGCCAGGCUAGAGGGAGUCAGGGGUGAGCGGAACUGAUGGUGGAGCGGUGAAAUGCGUUGAUAUCAUCAGGAACACCGGUGGCGAAGGCGGCUCACUGGGGCUCUUCUGACGCUGAGGGACGAAAGCUAGGGGAGCGAACGGGAUUAGAUA